GACGAACGCUGGCGGCGUGCUUAACACAUGCAAGUCGAACGGAAAGGCCCUGCUUUUGUGGGGUUCUCGAGUGCCGAACGGGUGAGUAACACGUGAGUAACCUGCCCUUGACUUUGGGAUAACUUCAGGAAACUGGGGCUAAUAUCGGAUAGGAGCUCCUGCUGCAUGGUGGGGGUUGGAAAGUUUCGGCGGUUGGGGAUGGACUCGCGGCUUAUCAGCUUGUUGGUGGGGUAGUGGCGUACCAAGCCUUUGACGGAUAGCCGGCCUGGGAGCGUGACCAGCGACAUUGGGACUGAGGGACGGAGCAGACGGGUACGGUAGGCAAUAGGCGGAAAUAUGGCACAGCGGGCGGGAGCGUGAGACGGCGACGCUGGGUGCGGGAUGCCGGGUUUCGGGGUGUGAACAGCUUUCGCCUGAGACGAAGCGUUAGUGACGGUAAUGGAUAAAGAAGCACCGGCUAACUACGUG
rnacentral:rRNA from 1 species